UACGUAGGGUGCGAGCGUUGUCCGGAAUUAUUGGGCGUAAAGAGCUCGUAGGCGGUCUGUCGCGUCGAAUGUGAAAACCCGGGGCUCAACCUCGGGCCUGCAGUGGGUACGGGCAAACUAGAGUGCGGUAGGGGAGAUUGGAAUUCCUGGUGUAGCGGUGGAAUGCGCAGAUAUCAGGAGGAACACCGAUGGCGAAGGCAGAUCUCUGGGCCG
rnacentral:rRNA from 1 species